GAUGAACGAGGGGGGAGGGAGGAAUAAUGGCAAGUCGAGCGAACAGAUGAGGAGCUUGCUCCUCUGACGUUAGCGGCGGGCGGGUGAGUAACACGUGGAUAACCUACCUAUAAGACUGGGAUAACUUCGGGAAACCGGAGCUAAUACCGGAUAAUAUAUUGAACCGCAUGGUUCAAUAGUGAAAGACGGUUUUGCUGUCACUUAUAGAUGGAUCCGCGCCGCAUUAGCUAGUUGGUAAGGUAACGGCUUACCAAGGCAACGAUGCGUAGCCGACCUGAGAGGGUGAGUGGCCACACUGGAACUGAGACACGGUCCAGACUCCUACGGGAGGCAGCAGUAGGGAAUCUUCCGCAAUGGGCGAAAGCCUGACGGAGCAACGCCGCGUGAGUGAUGAAGGUCUUCGGAUCGUAAAACUCUGUUAUUAGGGAAGAACAAAUGUGUAAGUAACUAUGCACGUCUUGACGGUACCUAAUCAGAAAGCCACGGCUAACUACGUG
rnacentral:rRNA from 1 species